GUCGAGCGGUAGCACAGGGGAGCUUGCUCCCCGGGUGACGAGCGGCGGACGGGUGAGUAAUGUCUGGGAAACUGCCUGAUGGAGGGGGAUAACUACUGGAAACGGUAGCUAAUACCGCAUAACGUCGCAAGACCAAAGAGGGGGACCUUCGGGCCUCUUGCCAUCAGAUGUGCCCAGAUGGGAUUAGCUAGUAGGUGGGGUAAUGGCUCACCUAGGCGACGAUCCCUAGCUGGUCUGAGAGGAUGACCAGCCACACUGGAACUGAGACACGGUCCAGACUCCUACGGGAGGCAGCAGUGGGGAAUAUUGCACAAUGGGCGCAAGCCUGAUGCAGCCAUGCCGCGUGUGUGAAGAAGGCCUUCGGGUUGUAAAGCACUUUCAGCGAGGAGGAAGGUGGUGAGCUUAAUACGCUCAUCAAUUGACGUUACUCGCAGAAGAAGCACCGGCUAACUCCGUGCCAGCAGCCGCGGUAAUACGGAGGGUGCAAGCGUUAAUCGGAAUUACUGGGCGUAAAGCGCACGCAGGCGGUUUGUUAAGUCAGAUGUGAAAUCCCCGGGCUCAACCUGGGAACUGCAUUUGAAACUGGCAAGCUAGAGUCUCGUAGAGGGGGGUAGAAUUCCAGGUGUAGCGGUGAAAUGCGUAGAGAUCUGGAGGA
rnacentral:rRNA from 1 species